CCCCCUCUCCCCAACAGAUAAAACAAGUCCAUGUUGUAUACAAAUGAUAUUUUACCAAGGCAGAUUUAUGUUGGAAGUGUUUUCUUUUAUUUACGCUCCCUCCCCCUAACAGAUUAAACAAGUCCAUGUUGUAUACAAAUGAUAUUUUACCAAGGCAUAUUUAUGUUGGAAGUGUUUUUUUUUCUUUACGCUCCCUCUCCCUAACAGAUUAAACAAGUCCAUGUUGUAUACAAAUGAUAUUUUACCAAGGCAUAUUUGAUGUUGGAAGUGUUUUCUUUUAUUUACGCCCCAUCUCCUACAGAUAAACAAGUCCAUGUUGUAUACAAAUGAUAUUUACCAAGCAUAUUUAUGUUUGGAAGUGUUUUCUUUUAUUUACGCUCCCUUUCGCCUAACAGAUUAAAACAAGUCCAUGGUUGUAUACAAAUGAUAUUUACCAAGCAUAUUUAUGUUGGAAGUGUUUUUUCUUUUAUCUACGCUCCCUUCGUCCCUUACAUAUUAACAAGUCCGAUGUUUGUAUACAAAUGGAUAUUUUACCAAGGCUAUUUAUGUGGAAGUGGGUUUCUUUUAUUUACGCCCCUCUCCCUAACAGAUUAAACAAUCCAUGCUGUAUACAAAUGAUAUUUUACAAGGCAUAUUUAUGUUGGAAGUGUUUUCUUUUAUUUCCCUUCUCCCUAACAAUUAAUCAAGUCCAUGGUUUACAAAUGAUAUUUUACCAAGAUUAUUAUGUGAAGUGUUUUCUUUAGUUACGCCCCCUCUAACCUAACAGAUUGAACAACGUCCAUGGGUAUACAAUAUAUUUACCAAGGCAGAUUUAUGUUGGAAGUGUUUUCUUUUAUUUACGCUCCCUCCCCCUAACAGAUUAAACAAGUCCAUGUUGUAUACAAAUGAUAUUUUACCAAGGCAUAUUUAUGUUGGAAGUGUUUUUUUUUCUUUACGCUCCCUCUCCCUAACAGAUUAAACAAGUCCAUGUUGUAUACAAAUGAUAUUUUACCAAGCAUUAUUAAUUUAUGUUGGAAAGUGUUUUUAUUUACGCCCCCUUUCCCUAACAAGAUUAAACAAGUCCAUGGUGUAUACAAAUGAUAUUUUACCAAUGCAUACAUAUGUUGAAGUGUUUUCUUUUAGUACGCCCCCCUCUCCCUAACGAUAAACAUGUCCAUGUUGUAUACAAAUGAUAUUUUACCAAGACAUAUUUAUGUUGGAAGUUUUUCUUUUAUUCACGCU
rnacentral:lncRNA from 1 species